ensembl:lncRNA
GUGUAAUCCUUCUGGAGCCACAAGAACUUUAAGCCAAGUCAAAAUGAAACACAAAAACAUUCUGCAAAAAGCUAACAGAAAGAAGACUGAAGCCCGUCUAACUGGCGGGGGGCCACCACCACCUCCCCUCACCCCAUCUGAGGAGCUGGCUCUGUCCCUUAAUAAAGGGCGACCAGUGGUUGCUGGCAUUCCAGGGGGCAGUUCAUCACACAUACUAUGCACCACAAGUGAUGGUGAAAAAAGGGUGAAAUAUACUGAUGGACGGAUUGUAUUAUUGGACUCUCCAGAAAGAACACAGUCUGUCACAGUUGAUGAAGAUGAUGAUGACGAUGAAGAGACCACAUCUGCUGUGACAGAAGUGGACAAUGCUGGUAGAUCCACUGAGUACAUACCUAGGGAUUUGCCCACAGAUGAGGGUCCUUCAGCCUCAGCACACAAUCUAAGCAGGUUGCCAGCAAAGGAGCUGUAUAAGGUCCAUCUUCAAAAACAAAUAAGAAAAAGUGACAUGGUGAUGGACCUUAUACAGCUUCAAAUGGAAGAGAAAAGGCUCCUCAUUAAAAAAGCAGCACUUGAAAUAGAAUUACUUGAGAAUCGCCUUAAGGAAAUGAAGAAAUAAACUGCCUGGCAGACCAGUGCAAAAAAAACUAAUAAAAGUAAUUUUGACAAAUCCUGUCUCUCA